rnacentral:misc_RNA from 1 species
GUACUCUCACACUCCCACUCUUUUUGGAUUGGGAGCGGUGGACUUGGGUGUUUGCUGCUUUACUGUGGCUCACCUCAAAUGGAGUAGUGCACCUCUCGGUUGGACAUAGUACGGCGUGAUAAGUGUCUUCGCCGGCGCCUCACUUGAGGGUGGCCGAUCGGGAGCUCUGUGCUUCAAACCGUCUUCGGACAAUUCUGACA